CCCUUAGAUGUCCUGGGCUGCACGCGCGCUACACUGGAAGUUACGGAUUGAGAUACUACCUUGUCCGAAAUGGUCCGGGUAAUCACCUAAAAGCUUGUCAUAAUUGGAAUGGAUUAUUGUAACUAGUAAUCCUGAACGAGGAAUUCCUAGUAAGUCCCAGUCAACAGCUGGUACUGAUUACGUCCCUGCCCUUUGUACACACCGCCCGUCGCUACUACUGAUUGGACGUUUAAGCAAGAUUUUUAAACACUGACAGUGUGUAGCUCACGCUAUACUACAGUGAGAAGAAGAAGAUCGAGCUUACUUGUCUAGAGGAAGUAAAAGUCGUAAC
rnacentral:rRNA from 1 species